rnacentral:lncRNA from 1 species
AUGCCUGUGCACACCAGCCCCCGCCAGCCCCUCCUGCCCCCCGGGGAGGGCAGCAGGUGGGUGCCCGGCCCCUCGGGUGGGGGUGAAGCGUGCGCCCCUACCUGGCCGCCUGCAUCAGCGGGCUCCAGCCGUAGUGGUUCCUGCUCUGCACCGAGGCCCCCUUCCGCAGCAGGAACCGCACCAGCUGCUCGUGGCCGCCCGCCGCGGCGAACUGCAGCCCGGUGUUGCCGGCCUCGUCGGUGCAAUCCACGGGGACGGCGGCCGCCGGCUCGGCGCUGCCGCCGGGCAGCCCCAGCAGGCGCCGGGCGGUCUCGCAGUCGCCCUGCUCGCAGGCACGGAGGAAGAGCUGCACCUGGGGGGGCACCCCGCACUCCCCCAUCGGCGGUGGCAGCGGAGGCGACGGCACCGAGCCCCGGCCGGCCCGGCCGCCCCCGGCCCUCGGCGGCCGUUGUGAAGGCGGCGGGGAGGAGGGGAGGAGGCCGGGGGGAGGAGGGCCUGCGCCGGCCCCUCACGGCGGCGGCGCUGCCGCCGGCCCCCGCGCCAUCUUCGCGCUGCUGCCACACAAAGAGGCGGCCCCGGCCAUCGCGGCUGCCCGCAGGGCGCUGGGGAUGGCUGCGGCGCUUUCCUGCCUCCUCCUGCCCUCCCUCACAGGCUCCUUCAAUAGAGUUGGGCGAUACAGAGCCCAGUCGUUGCUCGACAAAUCUCUCCUUGCACCCCAGUAGUGCCCAGCAGCUGGUCUUUGAGCAUAAAACUACGAUUUUUGUUUCUAAGUCUCCCCUCUAUACCUUCAGCCUCCUAGGUAGCCUGGCACCCUUUCCAGCUUACAUUGAUUUACAACAGCUAAACUGAGAAAAAAAAUGAAGCUCUGGUGAAACAACUCCCGAACCACACUUAACCGGUUAACUUAAGAGUAUGGUAUCGCCCCCCUAUAACUUCUAUAGCUUCCACCAGGUUGGUCUCUAUUAAAACUCAUCACUUCAAGGGCAGAACACAGCACUUGUUAUAAUGGUGGAGGUUUGGGGAAGAGUGAAUUAGGAGACGCUACGGGGCCAGGUGUCACUAAAAUGAAGCCAUCCACUGGUUUUAGUCAGAGGGACCCAUACUUUCCAUGUUACAUGGAUUUCGUCCUCUGAUCCACUGGUAAAUCCAGAUCACAGGACCAUCACAGCAAAGGGCCUAACAAGCUGCACUUCAAGAAAGACUCCAGCAAAAAAAGUACUGACUGUGUAAGGCCACUUAAACCCAUCCUCUGAGAGAGUACCGCUCACAGCAGGGAAAAAAUGACUUACACCUUUGCAAAUAUAUCCUCACAGAAACAAUAGGACAAAUUCCUAGACAGGGUAAAUAGUGAUGCUUUCUCCAUUAUAGAUAUCACACAUUAAAUACUGUAAAGCAUGUAAACAUUUAACAUGGGUAUUUUUGUUAAAAACAAAUCCAUAAACACAAAGAUGUUUAUGCUGCCCAUCAGCAGAAGCAAGAUACGUGGCUAGGCAAACUGUUGGUCUAGCCAAUAAAACCACUCUCAACACUACA